UAUGGCGCCUUGCAGCUAUGUAUUACCCGAAGAGUCGAUGUAUACAGAUGGUAUUCGUCAGUGAAAAUUUGCCAAUUUUGAAUACAAUGUCAUACUAUGCAGUGUGAACUGUGUUGACGUGAGUGUUUCAAAGACUUAGUUGUAUAGCAGAAAACAUGUGG